UCAAUUGGAUGGGUUUACAUGUACCACAUUGUAUAAGGAAGUAGGGAGUAUGAAUCAAAUCGCUCCCUGGAGGGAGACCGUCGUAGACAACUUUAUUGAGAAAGAAGGUCAUUUGUUGAUAAGCAGUCGAACAUAAGUGUUCACUGGUGAAACUGAAAAAUAGGAGGAAAAUUAUCUUAUUAUUUAAUUAUAGUAUGCUUAUCGUAAUCACCUCGAGUAUAUAUGAACGCUUUUUGUGGUCUCUUCGUUGUUUCACUGUCAACAAAUUGUGCGGUUGAGUGCCACUGCUGGUGAAGUGUAUUUUGACAACUGUCGGUUAAAUCAUGGAAAUGAUCAGCUCAAAGGUUGACGAACACGUUCUAGAGGCAGCGCUGCAAAAGCAACUGUCCGUAGAGACGCUGAAAAUACUGAGCGUAAAGAUCGAUUUCUUAUCGGAAAAAGGGUCGAACUUUCUCAGCGAUCUCUACAAGGUCACAGUGAAGUACACGGAUGCGUCGAAGAAUGAGGAGAAGUCGAAAUCAGAGCAUUCGACGGACGUGAUUAUUAAAUUGGAACCAAAAGAAGAAAUUCCUCUAGAGUUGGUGCAACAACAGGAUCUAUUUCCAGUCGAGUCGAAAGUACUACGCAAUGUUCUGCCGAUGAUAAGAGACUUGGUCGGUCAUCUUAUAGGGCCGUCGUUGUUGCACUGCUUAGACCAUCCUCGAGUUCUGAUCAUGGAGAAUCUGCACAAGAAGAAGUUUCUCAUGAAGGAUCGACAGAAAGGAUUAAGUUUUCAACAUUGCCGUCUAGUCAUGCAAAUACUUGCGAAAUUCCACGCAGGGUCCGUUGCAGUUCACGAAAGGAAUCCAGAACUGAUAGAAUCAUUCGAAGACGGUGGCAUAGUUUCGAAGAAAUGUCCGGAAGCUUUUCUACGACUGAUGGAAGUGAGCCUCUUGCGGAUAGGACAUCAAGUGAAGAAUUGGUCAGACGAAAAAUGUGUUCAAGCAGCGGCCAAGAUAAUCAAAAUGGCGGAAUUAAUUAGAACGCAAUGCAUUGAAGUGUAUGACCACGAUUCUGACGAAUUCUGCGUGUUGAACCAUGGGGACUGUUGGAUUAAUAAUAUCAUGUUUAAGGAAAAUGAAAGGGGCGAACCAGUUGAUUUACGCCUGGUCGAUUACCAAAUGGCUGUGUAUACAUCCCCAGCUAUCGAUUUGCUGUAUUUUCUAAAUAUCUGUCCAGAAUUGUCCGUGAAAUACGAUCAUGACGAUUAUUUCAUUGGGGUAUAUUUGAAUACUCUGAAGGAAACCAUGGAAAGAAUCGGUUGCAAAACAAAACCGCCGACCUUGGAACAAUUAAAAAAAGCUAUCCACAAGAGAAGAGCGUACGCAGUAUUCUCCGGGAUGGUGCUUUAUCUGCGAAUGAUGGCAAACAAGGAGGAUACAGAAGACUUCACCACAGUGUUAAAAUUAUACUCCGGUGAAACAAAAAUGGACGUCUUCAAAAAUCCGGACUCGGUGAAGCUAGCCUUGAAAAUGAUACCAAUAAUGAACGAGAAAGGUUACUUCGAUUGACUGAUUGACUUCGACACGCAAAUUCAGUACAUUAGGAGAAUAUUUACCAAGAUAUUCACAUUUAACUACGUUCUGUUUAAUUUUAGAAAUUCUAAAAGGAGUCUAGAUUAAAACUCGGUUAAGACAAGGUUAAAUAAUAGGAAUAUGGACCAAAGGCCGUGCCCCGCUGUUCAAAGAGAACUGCUGGCAGAGCUAUCCCAGCAGAUGAACUUUCGAAAAGAACCUCCGAACGUGCGGAUUCGGCGGUCAGCCGGUAGCAAUUGAUUUAUUGUAGGGCAGUAAAGCACUAGGCUAAAAGGUCUCCGAAAGCAUCGUCUUGGUAACCUACAUCGUGAACAGAGAAAUUGUUGUGGCAAGCCUCGAUGGGGUGGCCUUCUCGCGUAGAAUCUCGGCUACUGGAAAAGGAAAAACGCGAUGGAACAGAGGAUUCAUCGUCUUGGAAGAGAGAGCUCUAUCUUCCGGUUAGACCAAGGUAUUUCUCGAAGGUUGCUCCUUUGCUCUAGCUACCCUAGCUUUCUAUCUCUAGCCAGCUUUCCAUCUCCCUUCACUCACAGGUUCCUGGAGUUCUUGCUGCUUGACGACUCCAUCUUCCUCCCUUGUCCACGGUGACCUGAAAGUUACGCGCAGCCAGCAUUCGUAAAUCACAGUAGAAAGGCGAAUGCGAAAAAUUCGGUAGCCGAUUUUCGGUGCCCCGCACGAGGUUCGAGAAAGUCGGGUACAGAGAACACCGGAGGAGAAACUAAAGGAUAAUAGAAAAAAUGGCCAUCCGUAAAGGAUCUGGAUUACUCGGUCGUCAGUGUCCGAAAAUUCCGGUAGCAGACCGCGAUUAGUCACGAAUCGGGUCGGACGUAGAAAUUAGAUUUCCUCGCCCCCUUCAGCCCGUUUUUGCCAUUCAGGUUGCUUCGACGAAAUGUUCCGAUAUGAAAUCAGCCCGUUACCAGAUGGUUGAUCUUCUUUGCGACUAGCAAAGUAGCAUAGUGGAUAAGCAUCUGAAGAUCGUUGAGUAUAGAAUAGUGCAUCUGUAGCCUAAGCUUGUCUAAUUAUACUAUAAAUAGUUUGAGAGAAAUGCAAGGAAGUUUUUCAGUUAUUUUUUAAGUUUUUAAGUUUAUAUUUAAUGUAAAGUAUUGAUAACAAAUAAGAACAUUGAUUUUUAUUAAAUUAAGGGAUUAAUCAGUAUUGUUAGAGUGAUUAUUUUAUUUUGAUCUUCUAAACUGUAGUGGCAAUAAUGUAUUUUUUCUAGUGAACUUAGAAUGGAGUUUUUAUUUUGCGUGUGUUUCCAUAAAUAGAUAAACAAAAUUGGUAUUUAAUUAUUUUCAAUGAAAAUUGACUGAAGAUAAAUUCAAUAAUUUUGAAUAUAAUGCAUACGCAGUUGUAUUAUAGAAUAAAUUCCGUAAUAAAGAAAAGUGUACGAUCGGAAUGAAAGAAAUUCGUGUCAAAGGACGAGAUAAAUCAUAAAAGAUUUUGAAUAGGAUCACGAACUAAUCUUACAAUCCUUCAGGGGUUACGAUUUAAUACAAUUUUCACGUCGAAUUCAUCAAUGUCUCUCACCCACACGACUCUUCUUCUUCACGCGUUUUAUCAAAGGUGACUCCAACCCUGAGAAAAUCUUUCAGAAGCUGUGGAAUGCGAUUAAUAAGCUGCCAGCUACAGAAUGUUUUAAACGCUUAAAUUCUAUAGGGUAACAAAUAUACAUUUCUAUUAUCAAAGACUUUUAUACUCUAA